rnacentral:rRNA from 1 species
CCUACGGGAGGCAGCAGUGAGGAAUAUUGGUCAAUGGGCGCGAGCCUGAACCAGCCAAGUAGCGUGAGGGAAGAAUGCCCUAUGGGUUGUAAACCUCUUUUACACGGGGAGAACACGCCUCACGUGUGGGGGUCUGCAUGUACCGACCGAAUAAGCGUCGGCUAAUUCCGUGCCAGCAGCCGCGGUAAUACGGAGGAGCCGAGCGUUAUCCGGAUUGAUUGGGUUUAAAGGGUGCGUAGGCGGACUGUUAAGUUAGCGGUAAAAUCGCGGGGCUAAACCCCGGAUCGCCAUUAAAACUGGGGGGCUUGAGUACACAAGAGGUAGGCGGAAUUGGUGAAGUAGCGGUGAAAUGCUUAGAUAUCACGAGGAACCCCGAUUGCGAAGGCAGCUUGCCAGGGUGCGACUGACGCUGAGGCUCGAGGGCGUGGGUAGCGAACAGGAUUAGAUACCCGGGUAGUC